rnacentral:pre_miRNA from 1 species
CUUGUACUCCCUCCGUUCGGAAUUACUUGUCUCGAGAAUGGAUGUAUCUAGAACUAAAAUACAUUUAAAUACAUCUAUUUUUGCGACAAGUAAUUCCGAACGGAGGGAGUAGUUC